rnacentral:rRNA from 1 species
GGGUUGUGAGGUUAAGCGACUAAGCGUACACGGUGGAUGCCCUGGCAGUCAGAGGCGAUGAAGGACGUGCUAAUCUGCGAUAAGCGCCGGUAAGGUGAUAUGAACCGUUAUAACCGGCGAUUUCCGAAUGGGGAAACCCAGUGUGAUUCGUCACACUAUCAUUAACUGAAUCCAUAGGUUAAUGAGGCGAACCGGGGGAACUGAAACAUCUAAGUACCCCGAGGAAAAGAAAUCAACCGAGAUUCCCCCAGUAGCGGCGAGCGAACGGGGAGGAGCCCAGAGCCUGAAUCAGCAUGUGUGUUAGUGGAAGCGUCUGGAAAGGCGCGCGAUACAGGGUGACAGCCCCGUACACAAAAGCGCAUGUGCUGUGAGCUCGAUGAGUAGGGCGGGACACGUGGUAUCCUGUCUGAAUAUGGGGGGACCAUCCUCCAAGGCUAAAUACUCCUGACUGACCGAUAGUGAACCAGUACCGUGAGGGAAAGGCGAAAAGAACCCCGGCGAGGGGAGUGAAAAAGAACCUGAAACCGUGUACGUACAAGCAGUGGGAGCACCCUUCGGGGUGUGACUGCGUACCUUUUGUAUAAUGGGUCAGCGACUUAUAUUCUGUAGCAAGGUUAACCGUAUAGGGGAGCCGGAGGGAAACCGAGUCUUAAUUGGGCGUUAAGUUGCAGGGUAUAGACCCGAAACCCGGUGAUCUAGCCAUGGGCAGGUUGAAGGUUGGGUAACACUAACUGGAGGACCGAACCGACUAAUGUUGAAAAAUUAGCGGAUGACCUGUGGCUGGGGGUGAAAGGCCAAUCAAACCGGGAGAUAGCUGGUUCUCCCCGAAAGCUAUUUAGGUAGCGCCUCGUGAAUUCAUCUCCGGGGGUAGAGCACUGUUUCGGCUAGGGGGCCAUCCCGGCUUACCAACCCGAUGCAAACUGCGAAUACCGGAGAAUGUUAUCACGGGAGACACACGGCGGGUGCUAACGUCCGUCGUGAAGAGGGAAACAACCCAGACCGCCAGCUAAGGUCCCAAAGUCAUGGUUAAGUGGGAAACGAUGUGGGAAGGCCCAGACAGCCAGGAUGUUGGCUUAGAAGCAGCCAUCAUUUAAAGAAAGCGUAAUAGCUCACUGGUCGAGUCGGCCUGCGCGGAAGAUGUAACGGGGCUAAACCAUGCACCGAAGCUGCGGCAGCGAACGUAUCACCCAAGACAACUUUACGGAGUUGACGAUUGACGGAGCGAAGCGACGUCAAAGCGUUCAUUAAAGUCGAGUUGGCUUAGGGAUACGUUCGUUGGGUAGGGGAGCGUUCUGUAAGCCUGUGAAGGUGUGUCGUGAGGCAUGCUGGAGGUAUCAGAAGUGCGAAUGCUGACAUAAGUAACGAUAAAGCGGGUGAAAAGCCCGCUCGCCGGAAGACCAAGGGUUCCUGUCCAACGUUAAUCGGGGCAGGGUGAGUCGACCCCUAAGGCGAGGCCGAAAGGCGUAGUCGAUGGGAAACGGGUUAAUAUUCCCGUACUUGGUGUUACUGCGAAGGGGGGACGGAGAAGGCUAUGUUGGCCGGGCGACGGUUGUCCCGGUUUAAGCGUGUAGGUGUGUGUUCCAGGUAAAUCCGGUUCACUUUAACACUGAGGCGUGACGACGAGGCACUACGGUGCUGAAGCAACAAAUGCCCUGCUUCCAGGAAAAGCCUCUAAGCAUCAGGUAACAUCAAAUCGUACCCCAAACCGACACAGGUGGUCAGGUAGAGAAUACCAAGGCGCUUGAGAGAACUCGGGUGAAGGAACUAGGCAAAAUGGUGCCGUAACUUCGGGAGAAGGCACGCUGACACGUAGGUGAAGUGAUUUACUCAUGGAGCUGAAGUCAGUCGAAGAUACCAGCUGGCUGCAACUGUUUAUUAAAAACACAGCACUGUGCAAACACGAAAGUGGACGUAUACGGUGUGACGCCUGCCCGGUGCCGGAA